GACGGGGCCCGCACAAGCGGUGGAGCAUGUGGUUUAAUUCGAAGCAACGCGAAGAACCUUUACCAGGUCUUGACAUCCCGAUGCUAUUUCUAGAGAUAGAAGUUACUUCGGUACAUCGGUGACAGGUGGUGCAUGGUUGUCGUCAGCUCGUGUCGUGAGAUGUUGAGUUAAGUCCCGCAACGAGCGCAACCCCUAUUGUUAGUUGCCAUCAUUCAGUUGGGCACUCUAGCGAGACUGCCGGUAAUAAACCGGAGGAAGGUGGGAUGACGUCAAAUCAUCAUGCCCCUUAUGACCUGGGCUACACACGUGCUACAAUGGUUGGUACAACGAGUUGCGAGUCGGUGACGGCGAGCUAAUCUCUUAAAGCCAAUCUCAGUUCGGAUUGUAGGCUGCAACUCGCCUACAUGAAGUCGGAAUCGCUAGUAAUCGCGGAUCAGCACGCCGCGGUGAAUACGUUCCCGGGCCUU
rnacentral:rRNA from 1 species